GUUCAGCCGACCAGUCCCAAAUAGGAUGAAACGCGUGUCUUGGAU
rnacentral:hammerhead_ribozyme from 1 species